UGAGAUGUUCUUCUACUAGGAUGGAAGUGAUCACCAGAUGCUUAGAUAAAUUGAACAGGGAUCUCAACUUCUCCAGACAUGCUCGAUGAAUUCUCCAGACAUUCACAAUGCCUGAUUGAAACUUUUGUUUGGCAGAGACAUAAUUUGGAGGAGCAGUCUUGAUAGGUAAGGCAGUUUACUAAAUUAAGUCAGUGAGUGAAUAAUGGGAUUGUUGCUGUUACUCUCUAUUCUUAUGGUAUCAAUACUCAACAGGUGUUUUUAUAUAUAUAUUAUAUAUUUUUGCUGAUGAGCUAGGGCUUGUGAAACCUGCUCCUAGGUAGCCCUACAACUCAAACCAUUUAGUUACACGUACGUCUUAUUUGAGGACUUAAUUUCUCAAAAUGUAUGCAGGCUAGGCCUUUAAAAAUGUACAGCUAACUGGAGCCAAGUUGGGGAAACCAAAAUUGUGCAUGGCCGGAAACCCAAAUGUUGAUAACUUUGACACAAAAACAAAAGACCAAUACCCCACUGGACAUUGGACAAGAAUUUUUACUUGUUGAGUCCAUACGUUCACAGAUAACAGCCUUCCACUUGAAGCCUAAAAGCUUCAAAAUUAUUUGGCUGAUCCUUAAUUUGGAGAAGCAGUUCUUUUGAGGUUAGACGAUCUCCUGAAUGAAGUCCGUGAGUGAAGAUGGGCAACAGGCAUGAGGUUGUUGCUGUUUAUAUCAAUUCUCUUUUUAAUAGUAAAUGUAAAACCUCAACAUGAAUUUUUGUUUAAUCUUUGCGUCUUGUCAAUGAGGGCUGCUUCAACAAUCUUGGCAGUCGGUCUCACAAUGAAGAUGUCUUAACUGAAGGAUGAGGUCUGAGACAGAGAGUCUGAUGAGAUACACUGCAGAUCAUGAAAUGUUUAGCAUCUCCAAAGACAUUUAUCCAUCAAUAAGUGGAGGUCCAAGACCAGCCUUAGAUGGAGGAGCUUCACUCUCCAGUUAAAGGUGAAUUCCUUAAAAAAGACCAAGCAUCUCCAGAGAUAUCUACCGAUAAACAAGUACAUUGUAUGUCUAAGACCAACCUAAGAAGUAGGAGCUGCACUCUCCAGAAAAGAAAGGCUCAUCAUCUUCAAAGACAUUUACCCAUCCACCCAAGUCGAUGUCCAAGACCGGCCUUCAAUUGAGGAGCUGCACCCUCUAAGUCUGGCUGAUUAUCUCCAAAUACAUCUACCCAGUAAUAAGCAGAUGUCCAAGACCAACCUAAGACGUCAGAGACUCUUGACGGUUGCUACACCAGGAUGCUGUGUAUAUGGCCCUAAACAUCUCCUGCCAGGACCAUAUGAGAAACUGCAAUCUGUAUGCUGGCAGGCCGAAGACUGCAGAAGAUACCUGUGAACAUCGACUCAAGUUUGCUUGGCACUGUGAUCACCACUCUGAGCUUGAUGCUUGCCCAACCAUCCUCUAGGAGCCAACUCAAGGCAAUUUGCUUCUUGUUGGAGAAGAUGUCUUUCAUUCAUAGACACCCUGAGACGAGACACCAGCUUCGCCAGCGCUGAGGAACUACGCUCCUGCAUGCUAGAUCAAUACAUCUGGACAAAAAACACUGGAAAGGCUCACACUACUUUGCAUGGCACUCGCCUUGAUGAAGAGGACGUACAUGUAGGAGCUGCAUCAGAAAAGAAAGGCUCAACAUCUCCAAAGACAUCUACCCAUCAGCAAGUAGAUCUACAAGACCAGCCUUCAAUUGAGGAGCUGCACUCUCAAGUCAAAGUCAGGCUUUCAUCUGCAAAGACUUCUCUCUGACUGCAAGUAGAUCUCCAUCCAAGACCAGCCGAUGAUGAAGGAGCUACACUCUCCAG